UACGUAGGGUGCAAGCGUUGUCCGGAAUUAUUGGGCGUAAAGAGCUCGUAGGCGGUCUGUCGCGUCGGCUGUGAAAACUCGGGGCUCAACUCCGAGCUUGCAGCCGAUACGGGCAGACUAGAGGUAUGCAGGGGAGAACGGAAUUCCUGGUGUAGCGGUGAAAUGCGCAGAUAUCAGGAGGAACACCGGUGGCGAAGGCGGUUCUCUGGGCAUUACCUGACGCUGAGGAGCGAAAGUGUGGGGAGCGAACAGG
rnacentral:rRNA from 1 species